UACGAAGGGGGCUAGCGUUGCUCGGAAUGACUGGGCGUAAAGGGCGCGUAGGCGGAUGGCACAGUCAGAUGUGAAAUUCCCGGGCUUAACCUGGGGGCUGCAUUUGAUACGUGUGAUCUAGAGUGAGGAAGAGGGUCGUGGAAUUCCCAGUGUAGAGGUGAAAUUCGUAGAUAUUGGGAAGAACACCGGUGGCGAAGGCGGCGACCUGGUCCUUGACUGACGCUGAGGCGCGAAAGCGUGGGGAGCAAACGGG
rnacentral:rRNA from 1 species